rnacentral:rRNA from 1 species
AUUGAACGCUGUCGGCAUGCCUUACACAUGCAAGCCGAACGGUAACAGGUUAAGCUGACGAGUGGCGAACGGGUGUGUAAUGUAUCGGAACGUGCCCAGUCGUGGGGGAUAACUAUUCGACAGAGUGGCUACUACCGCAUACGCCCUGAGGUGGAAAGCGGGGGCCCGUCAGGACUCGCGCGAUGCGAGCGGCCGAUGUCAGAUUAGCUAGUUGGUGGGGUAAAAGCCCACCAAGGCGACGAUCUGUAGCUGGUCUGAGAGGACUGACCAGCCACACUGGGACUGAGACACGGCCCAGACUCCUACGGGAGGCAGCAGUGGGGAAUUUUGGACAAUGGACGCAAGUCUGAUCCAGCCAUGCCGCGUGCGGGAAGAAGGCCUUCGGGUUGUAAACCGCUUUUGUCAGGGAAGAAACGAGUUUCUCUAAUAGAGAGACUUAAUGACGGUACCUGAAGAAUAAGCACCGGCUAACUACGUGCCAGCAGCCGCGGUAAAAC